rnacentral:misc_RNA from 1 species
AAACUGUGAUAACUGAUGUGAAUUGCAGAACACUGUGAAUCAUCGAAAUUUUGAAUGCACUGCGCCAUCUGGUUUUCCAGAAGGCACGUCUGUCUGAGUGUUGGUUUCUUAUUAUUUCAAUUCCUUCAAAAGGGGGAGAUUGAAGAAAUUGAGGCGUCAGAAGCUUUUCUGACCCUUGGAAAAUAGUUGACAGCUUUUCACAAGCAAUAUGAAGCAGCUAGAUUUUAUCAAGCACUUCUGUAGCUCUGAAAAGCUGUGCAUCCCUUUUAAAUUGCAUGUAACUUUCAACCUCAGAUCAGACGAGAUCACCCGCUGAACUUAAGC